UAAAUGACUCUCGGCAACGGAUAUCUCGGCUCUUGCAUCGAUGAAGAACGUAGCGAAAUGCGAUACUUGGUGUGAAUUGCAGAAUCCCGUGAACCAUCGAGUCUUUGAACGCAAGUUGCGCCCAAAGCCAUUAGGUUGAGGGCACGCCUGCCUGGGUGUCACAA
rnacentral:rRNA from 1 species